AAACCAGCACCUCAAGUGGUCAGGAGGAUUAUUGGGCCUAAAGCAUCCGUAGCCUGCUCUGUAAGUUUUCGGUUAAAUCCAUAUGCUCAACAUAUGGGCCGCCGAAAAUACUGUGGAACUAGGGAGUGGGAGAGGUAGACGGUACUCGGUAGGAAGGGGUAAAAUCCUUUGAUCUAUUGAUGACCACCUGUGGCGAAGGCGGUCUACCAGAACACGUUCGACGGUGAGGGAUGAAAGCUGGGGGAGCAAACCGGAUUAGAAACCCCGGUAGUCC
rnacentral:rRNA from 1 species